CCCAGGAGCUCGGUGUGGUGUGCCUCUGGAGCUAUGAAAGAUUAUUGUCACUUGCCUGCUCCCUGAACGGAACCGCGCCACAUUGGACCUCCUAGAUCUCGACCCCCUGAACGCAUCUCUGGACCAACGACUUAGUCAUCUCCUUCAAACCUGGUAACUUCCUCUGACCACCUGGAUAUGACUGGUGCCCCGUUUCUUACCUCGAGUAAACCCAGCGAUAACGCUCCUUGACAACACAGCCCGGAACCAAAACACAUCAACUGUCGUCUCAACCCGGACUUCAACUCAGUAGGAAAGAACUGACGACCCCGGAGUCCGGUCCCAAACUUCAAGCCAAAAUUAUUAACAAUAAACUUGUUAAUACUUUGA